rnacentral:tmRNA from 1 species
GGGGAUGUUUUGGAUUUGACAGGAUGAUUGGUUUAACCAGAUUGCGAGUCCGGGCGCUGUUCCCGGUUAUCAACGAGCAAACUAAAUUAAAUGCUACAGAUAACGUUGUAGUUGCUGAUUUCUCUAGAGCUGCUGCUCGUAGAGCUGCGUAGAGCUUAGCUCCGCAUUCAGCCUCUCAUAGUUUCCAGCUUGCCGAUUCUAUGGGACAAUUAUGCAAGCUGCAGUGUGAUGAUAGUAGUAGUCACAUUAAGUUUACUACCAAAGGUUAGUCUUCCGAAAAAAGACUUUGGCUAUGGUUUUGGUCUAGUAAGUUCCCAGCCGUAGUUGAGAGUAAUAAUUUACUACACCCGUAGAGAUUUGUUUAAAUCCAUUUUGGACGUGGGUUCGAUUCCCACCAUCUCCA